GGCCUCCAAUGCUUACCAUAGGUUGUGUUCUUUACACUGACUGUAUAAAAAGAGGAGGUACAGUAAAUGCACCCCAUAUACAUUUCAGCCCAGGCUCUUUGCCUGAUCUAUAUUGUGAAUGGGGGGACAUGG